CUCCAGCGACGGUGUUUUGAAGGGACGCAGCACAGAGGUUCCCAGCCACGAUGACCACUCUAAGUACAGAACUGUCCCAGAUCUGCAGAAUUGGUAUUACAGCAGAACUUGCACCUGGGACUGGAAGGUCGUCCUUGCACUAUUCAUGGAAUAAGUAGGCAUUUCUUCUUCCUCCUGGGUACAGGUUAUUAUAUCUCAAAUCCACUACAAAAGGCUGAGGUGCCUAUUUAAGGUACUAAAGCAGACACUGACUGCCAAGUUCUCCCUGCAUCCCUCAGUCUCUACCUGUUACAGGGUAUGGCUUGCAUCCCUACCCUACCCUGAACUAGUCUAGCACAGGGGCUGAACUGCCCUUCCCUAUAUAAUCCAAUCAUUUUGGUUACCUCUCUCUCUCUCUCUCUCUCUCUCUCUCUCUCUCUCUCUCUCUCUCUCUCUCUCUCUCCUCACCCUCCCUCCCUCCCUCUCUCUUUCGUUUUAAAUUUCAAGUACUGGGAGUUGGUAGUUGGUUUCAGGUCCUGGAGCAUGCUAUGAAAGUUAUCUGCACUGAGCUAACACCAUAAGCACAGUUUGAUUUUUAUAUAGCUUUCUUAAGUUGUCCAGGCUAACCUUGAAUUUGUUAUUCUCACCCUUCAGCCUCCUAAAUACCUAAGUUGGUGGGCAAAUGCAUUUAUGCUGAGCUGCAGGAAAGCAUUUGGGAAGUUGUCAGCAGAAAGAUGCCCUGCCUGCAGGGCUUCAAUGGGUUCUCGACCUCCCUAAGGAGGGAAUGUAGAGACAGGAGAUACAAAGGAAAGACACCAAGUCUGGAUUCUGAUCAAGAAAGAGACAAAUGUUGCAAUGAUUGUGACCUGAGGUAAACAUCAAAUAUGUUCACACAUUGAAAUGUGACAAGGCUACUAUUAAUGUCCAGUUUGUAUUAAUUAAAUUUAAUUUUAAUUAAAAAA